UUCUAGAAAUCCUAGCUAUUUCCCGCAUGAUAUUUGGGAAUCUCAUUGCUAUUACUCAAAUAAGCAUGAAACGUAUGCUUGCGUAUUCGUCCAUAGGUCAAAUUGGAUAUGUAAUUAUUGGAAUAAUUGUUGGAGACUCAAAUGGUGGAUAUGCAAGCAUGAUAACUUAUAUGCUGUUCUAUAUCUCCAUGAAUCUAGGAA